rnacentral:misc_RNA from 1 species
AACGCACCUUGCGCUCCUUGGUAUUCCGAGGAGCAUGCCUGUUUGAGUGUCAUUAUAUUCUCAACCCUUCUCAGUUUUAAUGACUGAGUAAGUGGAUUGGAUUGUUGGGGGCAUUUGCUGGCCGUUUUACUACGGUCGGCUCCCCUGAAAUGCAUUAGCGGAACUGUUUGCGGUCCCGUCACUGGUGUGAUAAUUAUCUACGCCGAAGACGAGAGGCUGCUCUCCAUACGUUCAGCUUCUAAUCAGUCCCCUCUGGUGGACAAUUUAUGAAAGUUUGACCUCAAAUCGGGUGAGACUACCCGCUGAACUUAA